rnacentral:rRNA from 1 species
CAGCCGCCGCGGGAAUACGGAGGAUGCGAGCGUUAUUCGGAAUCAUUGGGUUUAAAGGGUCUGUAGGCGGGCUAUUAAGUCAGGGGUGAAAGGUUUCAGCUUAACUGAGAAAUUGCCUUUGAUACUGGUAGUCUUGAAUAUCUGUGAAGUUCUUGGAAUGUGUAGUGUAGCGGUGAAAUGCUUAGAUAUUACACAGAACACCGAUUGCGAAGGCAGGGGACUAACAGACAAUUGACGCUGAGAGACGAAAGCGUGGGGAGCGAACAGGAUUAGAUACCCCCGUAGUCCCUGUCUCUUAUAC